rnacentral:rRNA from 1 species
AGAGUUUGAUCCUGGCUCAGGAUGAACGCUGGCGGCGCGCCUAACACAUGCAAGUCGAGCGGCACCUAUCUUCGGAUAGAAGCGAGUGGCGAACGGCUGAGUAACACGUGGAGAACCUGCCCCCUCCCCCGGGAUAGCCGCCCGAAAGGACGGGUAAUACCGGAUACCCCGGGGUGCCGCAUGGCACCCCGGCUAAAGCCCCGACGGGAGGGGAUGGCUCCGCGGCCCAUCAGGUAGACGGCGGGGUGACGGCCCACCGUGCCGACAACGGGUAGCCGGGUUGAGAGACCGACCGGCCAGAUUGGGACUGAGACACGGCCCAGACUCCUACGGGAGGCAGCAGUGGGGAAUCUUGCGCAAUGGGGGGAACCCUGACGCAGCGACGCCGCGUGCGGGACGGAGGCCUUCGGGUCGUAAACCGCUUUCAGCAGGGAAGAGUCAAGACUGUACCUGCAGAAGAAGUCCCGGCUAACUACGUGCCAGCAGCCGCGGUAAUACGUAGGGGGCGAGCGUUAUCCGGAUUCAUUGGGCGUAAAGCGCGCGUAGGCGGCCCGGCAGGCCGGGGGUCGAAGCGGGGGGCUCAACCCCCCGAAGCCCCCGGAACCUCCGCGGCUUGGGUCCGGUAGGGGAGGGUGGAACACCCGGUGUAGCGGUGGAAUGCGCAGAUAUCGGGUGGAACACCGGUGGCGAAGGCGGCCCUCUGGGCCGAGACCGACGCUGAGGCGCGAAAGCUGGGGGAGCGAACAGGAUUAGAUACCCUGGUAGUCCCAGCCGUAAACGAUGGACGCUUAGGUGUGGGGGGACGAUCCCCCCGUGCCGCAGCCAACGCAUUAAGCGUCCCGCCUGGGGAGUACGGCCGCAAGGCUAAAACUCAAAGGAAUUGACGGGGGCCCGCACAAGCAGCGGAGCAUGUGGCUUAAUUCGAAGCAACGCGAAGAACCUUACCAGGGCUUGACAUAUGGGUGAAGCGGGGGAGACCCCGUGGCCGAGAGGAGCCCAUACAGGUGGUGCAUGGCUGUCGUCAGCUCGUGUCGUGAGAUGUUGGGUUAAGUCCCGCAACGAGCGCAACCCCCGCCGCGUGUUGCCAUCGGGUGAUGCCGGGAACCCACGCGGGACCGCCGCCGUCAAGGCGGAGGAGGGCGGGGACGACGUCAAGUCAUCAUGCCCCUUAUGCCCUGGGCUGCACACGUGCUACAAUGGCCGGUACAGAGGGAUGCCACCCCGCGAGGGGGAGCGGAUCCCGGAAAGCCGGCCCCAGUUCGGAUUGGGGGCUGCAACCCGCCCCCAUGAAGUCGGAGUUGCUAGUAAUCGCGGAUCAGCAUGCCGCGGUGAAUGCGUUCCCGGGCCUUGCACACACCGCCCGUCA